rnacentral:rRNA from 1 species
UAAUAUAAAGUCUAGCCUGCCCAAUGAUUAUUGAUUGAAUGGCCGCGGUAUUUUGACCGUGCUAAGGUAGCAUAAUAAUUAGUUUUUUAAUUGAGAACUGGUAUGAAUGGCUGGACAAAGAAAAUUCUGUCUCAAGCUUAAUUUAAUUAGAAUUUUAUUUUUAAGUAAAAAAGCUUAAAUGAUUUUAAAAGACGAGAAGACCCUAUAGAGUUUUAUAUUAUUUUUUAUAAAUAAUUUAAGGAAUUAUAUAUUUUAUAUAUUAAAUAGUAUUUUGUUGGGGUGACAAAAAAAUUAAAUAAACUUUUUUUAUAUUUUAUCAUUAAUUUAUGAUUAAGUGAUCCAUU